rnacentral:rRNA from 1 species
AUUGAACGCUGGCGGCAGGCCUAACACAUGCAAGUCGAGCGGCAGCGGAAAGUAGCUUGCUACUUUGCCGGCGAGCGGCGGACGGGUGAGUAAUGUCUGGGAAACUGCCUGAUGGAGGGGGAUAACUACUGGAAACGGUAGCUAAUACCGCAUAACGUCGCAAGACCAAAGAGGGGGACCUUCGGGCCUCUUGCCAUCAGAUGUGCCCAGAUGGGAUUAGCUAGUAGGUGGGCUAACGGCUCACCUAGGCGACGAUCCCUAGCUGGUCUGAGAGGAUGACCAGCCACACUGGAACUGAGACACGGUCCAGACUCCUACGGGAGGCAGCAGUGGGGAAUAUUGCACAAAGGGCGCAAGCCUGAUGCAGCCAUGCCGCGUGUAUGAAGAAGGCCUUCGGGUUGUAAAGUACUUUCAGCGGGGAGGAAGGUGUUGAGGUUAAUAACCUCAGCAAUUGACGUUACCCGCAGAAGAAGCACCGGCUAACUCCGUG